ensembl:antisense Gm16350 predicted gene 16350
AUGCCGCAAGAAAUCCUUCUGUAGCGAGGAAGUCAACCAGCCCGGCCAAGGAGGGCUCUUUGUUGUGUGGUGCCACACAAAGCAGCUAUCUAAAACAAAAUGUGAGACUUUUGAAAGUAAAGCUGAGUGGCCUUUUAACCUCCUUGGGGGGUUCGCGGAUCCAAGUGGGGAGCUACCAACUCACUGAGUCCCUUUCCUAAGAAAACAAGUGGGCAGAGGCCAAGGCAUUGCACUCUCAGGCAUUCCGGGCCCCGGCCACCCCAGUUAGCGGAGCAGAUGAGGAACAUCUCUCUGGACCUUGUUCAGCUUCUCCGCCAGGGUCUCGAGCUCCGUCAGCGCCAUCUGAAGGGGCAGCCUGUCAGGAUGUCCUUUGGCGGUGUUCUUUAGCAUGUCCUGUGAGCAGGAGGCAGAGUACGGGUGGUCAGCAAGGAUGCUUCUGACC